UGGGGAAUAUUGGACAAUGGGCGAAAGCCUGAUCCAGCCAUGCCGCGUGUGUGAAGAAGGUCUUCGGAUUGUAAAGCACUUUAAGUUGGGAGGAAGGGCAUUAACCUAAUACGUUAGUGUUUUGACGUUACCGACAGAAUAAGCACCGGCUAACUCUGUGCCAGCAGCCGCGGGAAUACAGAGGGAGCAAGCGUUAAUCGGAAUUACUGGGCGUAAAGCGCGCGUAGGUGGUUUGUUAAGUUGGAUGUGAAAUCCCCGGGCUCAACCUGGGAACUGCAUUCAAAACUGACUGACUAGAGUAUGGUAGAGGGUGGUGGAAUUUCCUGUGUAGCGGUGAAAUGCGUAGAUAUAGGAAGGAACACCAGUGGCGAAGGCGACCACCUGGACUAAUACUGACACUGAGGUGCGAAAGCGUGGGGAGCAAACA
rnacentral:rRNA from 1 species